UAGCUCUUUAACAAUUUGGAAAGCUGACAAAACAACAAUUUAUUGUUGUUUGUAAAGUUCUCAAAGUAUUCAUUUAUGAAUACAACUAAUAACACAUUCAAGUGUUCUUGGAAUUUGAGUCCGGCAAAAUCGAAUGUCUCUCGCUCAUUCAAAUAAUGAGAGACAACUUUGGUGAUUUGAACAUCAACUCGAGACUCCUUCGGGUUGUAU
rnacentral:misc_RNA from 1 species